GAGCACAAGUUUGCUCCAUUAGCCUAUAAGACAUUCAGAUAAAUAAAGAUGCAUGUUUCUCAAAGUUUUGUAUCCAUUCAGGUAAACAGUAAUAUAAAUGGUGGGUAAAAAUGCUAACAAGAUUUUGUUUCAUUUCUGCUAACUGGGUGCUUUCCUACAUAUUCUGCCAACAUUUUAGGAUCUAUUUUUCGUAUAAAGCCACUGCUCUUUGCUGAUUUUAAGCUUUCCCUAUCUGCUUUAGUAACCGUUCACACCCCAACUAUGGAUUAACCAACGCAGUAAAACUGA